UCAAUGCAUCUCUCUCACCAAAAUCUCAACCCCAUCCCAACAAACCCUAGAAUCUACACGACAAAACACCCAAAUCUCAACCCCAUCACCAAAAUCUCUACCCAAUCGCCCAAACCAUACAAAUCUGUAAACAUUAGUCGUCUCCUCCACUAUCUCAACCUCGUCUGCACCAAAAAUCGAGUUUUCCAUAAAAACUGAUUCCUCUACCACAAAACCUUGGCAGAAUUCAAAACUUGACGAAGAAGGAUAACAAAAAAGCUACUACAACCAUGGUCAACACUAGAGCCUCUGGAUCCGCACCUCGUGACGGAAAAGUGUAUGAGAGAACAUCCGCGAAGACAAAGCUACAAAAGAUCCCAAAGGCUCCGAGAGAUGGAAGUCAACAUGGGUGAGAGAAGGCCAUUGGAAUUGUGGACUAUCGACUAGAUAUAAGGGUGCGCUUAAGUAUUUAAGAGCUAAAAAGUAUUGUGUUGAAGUUGGCCGAAAAUAAUCACAGCUCCCUUUCCAAUAAAACAUCGACAUCCAAACA